GAGCAUCAACUAAUCGGAUUGAAGCAUUUUUUCUUUGAGCAUUGAUGAAUUGAAUCCAUGCGACAAACAACGGUGUGAGCUAUUAAUCUGACUCAAUCACAAGACAAACAGUAGCUACAAGAAAAGAAGCUAAAGCUGAGCGUGGCGGCCGGUUGGAUGCGAGGCUUGGCCUUGGCGUUCCCACGCGCGACCGCGACUCCGAGCGGCGCGUUCUCAGGUGCGGUCAACGGCCGGCGUUUGGAGCGGCUGCUCCGUCAAGCACGGCGGCUCGGCGCUUCCCGGCAUGUGCCGCCAUUGUUGCCCUGCGGCAAGACCUCCACUGGCGAAAGAAGGCGUAGCAGAUCAAAGGAAGAUGGCCGGCGGCACAGAUAGGAGGUGGAGGGCCGGCAGCGCACAUCGCGGGCGGGGGAGAGACGAGGGAGAAUAGCCGCACAGAGGAUAGGGUUCGAGAGCG
rnacentral:rRNA from 1 species